AGAAUUUUAUAUAUAUAUAAUUCUAUUAAUUUUUAUAAUUAUAAAAAUAAUUUUUUAAAAAAUAAUAAUUAUAAAAAUAAAUUUCUAAAUGCGGUGAAUCAUUCGCCGCUUUCAUAACUCUAGUUAAAGCUAAAAGUUAUUUUAAAUGCGAUGAAUUUUUUACCGCCUUUAUUUUUUUUUUCAAUUCUUUUUAAAAGUGGUGAAUAAUUCACUGCUUUUUCUUGUCAUAAAAAAAAUUUGACGAAUGUGGUAAAUCAUUCACCGCUUUUACCACCUACAAAUAUAACGGAGACUAUAUUUACAAAUAAAAUUUUAACAGAUCUAAUUUUAAAAUUUUUUUUUUGAAGAAGACCAGGUUAGUAAAAU
rnacentral:lncRNA from 1 species